rnacentral:rRNA from 1 species
UCGAGAAUUUUUCACAAUGGGCGAAAGCCUGAUGGAGCGACGCCGCGUGGGGGAUGAAUGGCUUCGGCCCGUAAACCCCUGUCAUUUGCGAACAAACCUUGCUAUUUAAAAGAUGGCGAGCUGAUUGUAGCGAAAGAGGAAGGGACGGCUAACUCUGUGCCAGCAGCCGCGGUAAUACAGAGGUCCCAAGCGUUGUUCGGAUUCACUGGGCGUAAAGGGUGCGUAGGCGGUCGGGUAAGUCUGACGUGAAAUCUCCGAGCUUAACUCGGAAACGGCGUCGGAUACUAUUCGGCUCGAGGGUUGGAGGGGGGACUGGAAUACUUGGUGUAGCAGUGAAAUGCGUAGAUAUCAAGUGGAACACCAGUGGCGAAGGCGAGUCCCUAGACAACUCCUGACGCUGAGGCACGAAAGCUAGGGGAGCAAACAGGAUUAGAUACCCGCGUAGUCC